rnacentral:rRNA from 1 species
UACGAAGGGGGCUAGCGUUGUUCGGAAUUACUGGGCGUAAAGCGCGUGUAGGCGGGUCUUUAAGUCAGGGGUGAAAUGCCAAGGCUCAACCUUGGAACUGCCUUUGAUACUGGAGAUCUUGAGUCCGGGAGAGGUGAGUGGAAUUGCGAGUGUAGAGGUGAAAUUCGUAGAUAUUCGGAAGAACACCAGUGGCGAAGGCGACUUACUGGACACAUAUUGACGCUGAGGUGCGAAAGCGUGGGGAGCAAACAGG